AUACGUAGGGGGCAAGCGUUAUCCGGAUUUACUGGGUGUAAAGGGAGCGUAGACGGAAGGCCAAGUCAGAUGUGAAAUGCAGCUGCUCAACAGCUGAAUUGCAUUUGAAACUGCGGGUCUUGAGAGUCGGAGAGGUAAUUGGAAUUCCCAGUGUAGCGGUGAAAUGCGUAGAGAUUGGGAGGAACACCAGUGGCGAAGGCGACUUACUGGGCCGUAACUGACGCUGAGGCGCGAAAGCGUGGGGAGCGAACAGGAUUAGAUACCCUGGUAGUCCACGCGGUAAACGAUGAAUGCUAGGUGUUGCGGGUAUCGACCCCUGCAGUGCCGGAGUAAACACAAUAAGCAUUCCGCCUGGGGAGUACGGCCGCAAGGUUGAAACUCAAAGGAAUUGACGGGG
rnacentral:rRNA from 1 species